GUUAGCUUUUUUCGUCAAAUAUUUGUGCGCGGGAAGCCACAAGCGACAUCGCAGUCACAAAUGUUCGUCGUAGGAUGAGGUUCGAUUUUGUGUAAGAUGUAUGGAUAAGCUGACUGUUGGGUUAUGACAGCGAGUUCGAAACGAUAUUCAGAUGCAAAACUAUUAAAGGUUGAAGAUUCAAAGACACAAAGUAACGAACGAGGAAUAAUACAACUUAAAACACUGCUUGAAAGUUGACAGGACAAUUUAUCAUUGUAC